rnacentral:tRNA from 1 species
AGGGAUGUAGCUCAGUGGUAGAGCACUUGCCUAGAAUUGUGCAAAACCCUGGGUUCAAUUUCCAGCACCACAA